UCUAUAUUAAUCCAAUCUAAGCAUGGCAUACUGCCUAGCAAUGGCAUGACUCCUAUUGUUUUAUUCGAUCCCAAUAU
rnacentral:tRNA from 1 species